GAAGGGUAAACUCGCACCUGUUCUACCCAGAAGAGUGGCUCAAGUUCACAUUCAGAAUUUAUUUGUUGAAAGAGUAUCUCCACUUUAUCACAAUCGAGCACUUCCAAUUCUUUCAGAAGUGGCCAGCUUGAACUAAACCUUCUAGAGCAAAAUCUUUUGAGUUGGUGUAAACCGGAGAGUGUGAGAGAGGUAAGGUUAGGGAAUGAGAGUAAAGGUGCUGCUUCAUCUUCAUUUUCAUUGGCAACAAUUGCCUCCACUCCACUCUCCGAUAUAUAAAGGUCCUCAAGUUGCACAAGAGCACUCGCCACAGAAACCGGAAAAAGGUUUAGCAAUUUGUUGCAUCCCCUUCCUUGCAAUUUCCUUAAUUUGGAAAAUGAAUUUGCUGGAAGUUGGUCAGGCCACAAUGCUCUUAUAUUAUCUAGUCCACGUACAGACAAGGACUCCAAGCCUGGGAGUGCAACCUGUGCAAUUGAUGAUCCCUUUAGUUAAUAAUAUAUACAUAUACAUUCCUAAUAAUUAGACACAUGUAAAUAGAAAAUAAGAGGUUAAAGGAGAAUAUAUCAGUAUAACAAAGCACAAAAUUUAAACUAGAUUCAAGAAGAUCAAGAAAGAGAAAAGAAAAGAAAAAGCCUCCAGAUUUUGAAGAUACAAUGAAACUUAAAAAAAAAAAAAAAAAAACUUCCAAAUUUUCCUUUCGAAAUGAGGUAAUAAGAGGAUUUUUUUUUUCUUUUUUCUUUGCCUCUCUUUCAAAUUUGAUUAACUUCUAUGGAAAACGUAUUUUAACUAGUUAUGGAAAACCGAUUUUUUUUUUUUUAACUUUUAUAUAAGAUACAAGUAAUACUUUAAAAAAAUUGUGAUAUCUAAAUAAUUUUUUGAAAAAUUAUUUUUAAAGAAAUAAGGUAAAUCUAUACUUUUUGUACAAGAUGUUCUACCUUUAUAUACAAAUUUCUGAUUUUUUUUUUAAAAGUGUAUCCAAAUGGACACUAAACUAUCUAGUUUUUAAUUGUUACAACUUUGAAUUGGAUUUUAUGGUAAACUAAUUUACAAGUUAAUGCAUGGAUUCAUCUUAGAUUCCAUCUAUAAAUUUUUUUAAUUAUCUAAUAUAAGACAUUAUAUUAAUGAGUUGAAUUAAUAAUGUAAUUAUAAUUUAUUUGGCAACUUUCUUCCUUCAAAUAUAUAAAAUGAAAAUAAAGUUUAAAAAAUAAAAAAAAUGAAAAAAAUAAAAAAUAAAAAAUGAUUUUUUUUAUAGUUUUUCUAAGAUGAUUUUGUAGAGUACUGUUAGUUUAUAGUUUUAACUUUAUUUCAUUUUACUUUUAACUUUAUUUAUUGAGGUAUGUUCUUUUUUGAAACUCUUGUUUAGAUUUUAUAGAGAAUAUAAAUUUUAAGAAAAAAAAUGAAAUUUAAAUAAAAUAAGAAUAAAGAAAGGCAAAAGGUGGAUGAAUUUUUUUAAGGCAAAAGUUUGAUAACUUGGCACUAUCAUGUAAUGGGUGAAAUUUUUAAAUACUCAACAAAGGCUAGUGAAAUUUAAAUUAAAAGCUUGACAUGUACCUUUUCGACCAAAAUCUUUGGAGUUGGUGUAAAGUUUUGAGUAUGAGAGAGGUUAGUCUAGGGAAUAUUAUUGCACAUUAGUUCAAAUAAAACAUCAACAUUUUUUUUUUGUUAAAUUCUAAAUGAACACCGCUAUAAAUUAAUGCGAUUUUGUAUGCUCAAUUAAAUAAACUUGUUCUUAAGGCAUCACAUGAAGUGUUUAAGUCUAAUUAAUAUUAAUUAAAAAUGAUUAUAUUAAAAAAAAUCCAAAGUAAUUUAUUUUUAUCAUAAGUCAAGUAGGAUAGUUUUAUAAAUAAUUGGUUCUAGUUUCUAGUACUAUUGUACACAAUCGCUAUGUUUGUUGCACCUCCAAAAAAUCUACUACUUGUAAUUAAUUGUAUAUUAUUCUCCAUAUUCACAUCAGUUUAUGUAGUAUGAUUAAUUUAGCAACAAAAUAUAAGUUUACUUGAAAUCGCUUUAAAUUCCUAUGAUAUUAAAGUUUAAGAUUAAAACAAUGUAACAUUAGCCAAAAAGAUUAAGAUCUAUAAUGUAACAUAUAAUAUUUAGAAAAUUCAAGGAAGGGUAAACUCGCACCUGUUCUACCCAGAAGAGUGGCUCAAGUUCACAUUCAUAAUUUAUUUGUUGAAAGAGUAUCUCCACUUUAUCACAAUCGAGCACUUCCAAUUCUUUCAGAAGUGGCCAGCUUGAACUAAACCUUCUAGAGAAAAAUCUUUUGAGUUGGUGUAAACCGGAGAGUGUAAGAGAGGUAAGGUUAGGGAAUAAGAGUAAAAGUGCUGCUUCAUCUUCAUUUUCAUUGGCAACAAUUGCCUCCACUCCACUUUCCGAUAUAUAUAGGUCCUCAAGUUGCACAAGAGCACUCGCCACAGAAACCGGAAAAAGGUUUAGCAAUUUGUUGCAUCCCCUUACUUGCAAUUUCCUUAAUUUGGAAAAUGAAUUUGCUGGAAGUUGGUCAGACCACAAUGCUCUUAUAUUAUCUAGUCCGCGUACAGACAAGGACUCCAAACCUGGGAGUGCAACCUGUGCAAUUGAUGAUCCCUUUAGUUAAUAAUAUAUACAUAUACAUUCCUAAUAAUUAGACACAUGUAAAUAGAAAAUAAGAGGUUAAAGGAGAAUAUAUCAGUAUAACAAAGCACAAAAUUUAAACUAGAUUCAAGAAGAUCAAGAAAGAGAAAAGAAAAGAAAAAGCCUCCAGAUUUUGAAGAUACAAUGAAACUUAACAAAAAAAAAAAAAAACCACCAAAUUUUCCUUUCGAAAUGAGGUAAUAAGAGGAUUUUUUUUUUUUCUUUUUUCUUUGCCUCUCUUUCAAAUUUGAUUAACUUCUAUGGAAAACGUAUUUUAACUAGUUAUGGAAAACAUAUUUUUUUUUUAAAAAACUUUUCUAUAAGAUACAAGUAAUACUUUAAAAAAAUUGUGAUAUCUAAAAAAUUUUUUGAAAAAUUAUUUUUAAAGAAAUAAGGUAAAUCUAUACUUUUUGUAUAAGAUGUUCUACCUUUAUAUACAAAUUUCUGAUUUUUUUUUUAAAAGUGUAUCCAAAUGGACACUAAACUAUCUAGUUUUUAAUUGUUACAACUUUGAAUUGGAUUUUAUGGUAAACUAAUUUACAAGUUAAUGCAUGGAUUCAUCUUAGAUUCCAUCUAUAAAUUUUUUUAAUUAUCUAAUAUAAGACAUUAUAUUAAUGGGUUGAAUUAAUAAUGUAAUUAUAAUUUAUUUGGCAAGUUUCUUCCUUCAAAUAUAUAAAAUGAAAAUAAAUUUUAAAAAAUAAAAAAAAUGAAAAAAAUAAAAAAUAAAAAAAGAUUUUUUUUAUAGUUUUUCUAAGAUGAUUUUGUAGAGUACUGUUAGUUUAUAGUUUUAACUUUAUUUCAUUUUACUUUUAACUUUAUUUAUUGAGGUAUGUUCUUUUUUGAAACUCUUGUUUAGAUUUUAUAGAGGAUAUAAAUUUUCAGAAAAAAAAAAUUAAAUUUAAAUAAAAUAGGAAUAAAGAAAGGCAAAAGGUGGAUGAAUUUUUUUAAGGCAAAAGUUUGAUAACUUGGCACUAUCAUGUAAUGGGUGAAAUUUUUAAAUACUCAACAAAGGCUAGUGAAAUUUAAAUUAAAAGCUUGACAUGUACCUUUUCGACCAAAAUCUUUGGAGUUGGUGUAAAGUUUUGAGUAUGAGAGAGGUUAGUCUAGGGAAUAUUAUUGCACAUUAGUUCAAAUAAAACAUCAACAUUUUUUUUUUUGUUAAAUUCUAAAUGAACACCACUAUAAAUUAAUGCGAUUUGUAUGCUCAAUUAAAUAAACUCGUUCUUAAGGCAUCACAUGAAGUGUUUAAGUCUAAUUAAUAUUAAUUAAAAAUGAUUAUUUUAAAAAAAUCCAAAGUAAUUUAUUUUUAUCAUAAGUCAAGUAGGAUAGUUUUAUAAAUAAUUGGUUCUAGUUUCUAGUAUUAUUGUACACAAUCGCUAUGUUUGUUGCACCUCCAAAAAAUCUACUACUUGUAAUUAAUUGUAUAUUAUUCUCCAUAUUCACAUCAGUUUAUGUAGUAUGAUUAAUUUAGCAACAAAAUAUAAGUUUACUUGAAAUCGCUUUAAAUUCCUAUGAUAUUAAAGUUUAAGAUUAAAACAAUGUAACAUUAGCCAAAAAGACUAAGAUCUAUAAUGUAACAUAUAAAAUUUAGAAAAUUCAAGGAAGGGUAAACUCGCACCUGUUCUACCCAGAAGAGUGGCUCAAGUUCACAUUCAGAAUUUAUUUGUUGAAAGAGUAUCUCCACUUUAUCACAAUCGAGCACUUCCAAUUCUUUCAGAAGUGGCCAGCUUGAACUAAACCUUCUAGAGCAAAAUCUUUUGAGUUGGUGUAAACCGGAGAGUGUGAGAGAGGUAAGGUUAGGGAAUGAGAGUAAAGGUGCUGCUUCAUCUUCAUUUUCAUUGGCAACAAUUGCCUCCACUCCACUCUCCGAUAUAUAAAGGUCCUCAAGUUGCACAAGAGCACUCGCCACAGAAACCGGAAAAAGGUUUAGCAAUUUGUUGCAUCCCCUUACUUGCAAUUUCCUUAAUUUGGAAAAUGAAUUUGCUGGAAGUUGGUCAGGCCACAAUGCUCUUAUAUUAUCUAGUCCGCGUACAGACAAGGACUCCAAACCUGGGAGUGCAACCUGUGCAAUUGAUGAUCCCUUUAGUUAAUAAUAUAUACAUAUACAUUCCUAAUAAUUAGACACAUGUAAAUAGAAAAUAAGAGGUUAAAGGAGAAUAUAUCAGUAUAACAAAGCACAAAAUUUAAACUCUAUUCAAGAAGAUCCAGAAAGAGAAAAGAAAACGCCUUUUGAUUUUGAAGAUCCAAUGAAACUUUAAAAAAAAAAAAAAAAACCUCCAAAUUUUGCUUUCCAAAUGAGGUAAUAGGAGGAUAUUUUUAUUUUAUUUUUUCUUUGCCUCUCUUUCAAAUUUGAUUAACUUCCAUGGAAAACGUAUUUUAACUAGCCAUGGAAAAUGGAUUUUUUUUUUAAAACUUUUAUAUAAGAUACAAGAACUCUUAGAGGGUUACAUUAUGUAAGUAAUACUUUAAAAAAAAUGUUUAAAAAUAUUGUGAUAUCCAAAAAUUUUACUACCUCGGAUUUUAAAUUUUAAAAAAAUUAUUUUUAAAGAAAUAAGGUAAAUCUAUACUUUUUCGUAUAAGAUAUUCUACCUUUAUAUACAAAUUUCUGAUUUUUUUUUUAAAGUGUAUCCAAAUGGACACUAAACUAUCUAGUUUCGAAUUUUUACAACUUUGAAUUGGAUUUUAUGGUAAACUAAUUGACAAUAUAACGCAUGGAUUCAUCUUAGAUUCCAUCUAUAAAUUUUUUAAUUAUCUAAUAUAAGACAUUAUAUUAAUGGGUUGAAUUAAUAAUGUAAUUAUAAUUUAUUUGGCAACUUUCUUCCUUCAAAUAUAUAAGACGAAAAUAUAUUUUAAAAAAUAAAAAAGAAUGAUAAAAAAUAGAAAAUAAAAAUAGCUUAUUUUAUUGUUUUUCUAAGAUGAUUUUGUAGAGUGUUAGUUUAUAGUUUAACUUUAUUUCAUUUUACUUUUAACAUUAUUUAUUGAGGUAUGUUCUUUUUUGAAACUCUUGUUUAGAUUUUAUAGAGAAUAUAAAUUUUAAGAAAAAAAAUGAAAUUUAAAUAAAAUAAGAAUAAAGAAAGGCAAAAGGUGGAUGAAUUUUUUGAAGGCAAAAGUUUGAUAAUUUGGCACUGUCAUGUAAUGGGUGAAAUUUUUAAAUACUCAACAAAGGCUAGUGAAAUUUAAAUUAAAACCUUGACAUGUACCUUUUCGACCAAAAUCUUUGGAGUUGGUGUAAAGUUUUGAGUAUGAGAGAGGUUAGUCUAGGGAAUAUUAUUGCACAUUAGUUCAAAUAAAACAUCAACAUUUUUUUUUGUUAAAUUCUAAAUGAACACCACUAUAAAUUAAUGCGAUUUUGUAUGCUCAAUUAAAUAAACUCGUUCUUAAGGCAUCACAUGAAGUGUUUAAGUCUAAUUAAUAUUAAUUAAAAAUGAUUAUAUCAAAAAAAAUCCAAAGUAAUUUUUUUUUAUCAUAAGUCAAGUAGGAUAGUUUUAUAAAUAAUUGGUUCUAGUUUCUAGUAUUAUUGUACACAAUCGCUAUGUUUGUUGCACCUCCAAAAAAUCUACUACUUGUAAUUAAUUGUAUAUUAUUCUCCAUAUUCACAUCAGUUUAUGUAGUAUGAUUAAUUUAGCAACAAAAUAUAAGUUUACUUGAAAUCGCUUUAAAUUCCUAUGAUAUUAAAGUUUAAGAUUAAAACAAUGUAACAUUAGCCAAAAAGACUAAGAUCUAUAAUGUAACAAAUAAAAUUUAGAAAAUUCAAGGCAGGGUAAACUCGCACCUGUUCUACCCAGAAGAGUGGCUCAAGUUCACAUUCAGAAUUUAUUUGUUGAAAGAGUAUCUCCACUUUAUCACAAUCGAGCACUUCCAAUUCUUUCAGAAGUAGCCAGCUUGAACUAAACCUUCUAGAGCAAAAUCUUUUGAGUUGGUGUAAACCGGAGAGUGUGAGAGAGGUAAGGUUAGGGAAUAAGAGUAAAGGUGCUGCUUCAUCUUCAUUUUCAUUGGCAACAAUUGCCUCCACUCCACUCUCCGAUAUAUAUAGGUCCUCAAGUUGCACAAGAGCACUCGCCACAGAAACCCGAAAAAGGUUUAGCAAUUUGUUGAAUCCCCUUACAUGCAAUUUCCUUAAUUUGGAAAAUGAAUUUGUUGGAAGUUGGUCAGGCCACAAUGCUCUUAUAUUAUCCAGUCCGCAUACAUACAAGGACUCCAAGCCUUGGAGUGCAACCUGUGCAAUUGAUAAUCCCUUUGGUUAAUAAUAUAUACAUAUACAUUCCUAAUGAUUAGACACAUGUAAAUAGAAAAUAAGAGGUUAAAGGAGAAUAUAUCAGUAUAACAAAGCACAAAAUUUAAACUAGAUUAAAGAAGAUCAAGAAAGAGAAAAGAAAAGAAAAAGCCUCCAGAUUUUGAAGAUACAAUGAAACUUAAAAAAAAAAAAAAAAAACCUCCAAAUUUUCCUUUCGAAAUGAGGUAAUAAGAGGAUUUUUUUUUUCUUUUUUCUUUGCCUCUCUUUCAAAUUUGAUUAACUUCUAUGGAAAACGUAUUUUAACUAGUUAUGGAAAACGGAUUUUUUUUUUUAAAAACUUUUAUAUAAGAUACAAGUAAUACUUUAAAAAAAUUGUGAUAUCUAAAAAAUUUUUUGAAAAAUUAUUUUUAAAGAAAUAAGGUAAAUCUAUACUUUUUGUAUAAGAUGUUCUACCUUUGUAUUCAAAUUUCUGAUUUUUUUUUUUUAAAGUGUAUCCAAAUGCACACUAAACUAUCUAGUUUUUAAUUGUUACAACUUUGAAUUGGAUUUUAUGGUAAACUAAUUUACAAGUUAAUGCAUAGAUUCAUCUUAGAUUCCAUCUAUAAAUUUUUUUAAUUAUCUAAUAUAAGACAGUAUAUUAAUGGGUUGAAUUAAUAAUGUAAUUAUAAUUUAUUUGGCAACUUUCUUCCUUCAAAUAUAUAAAAUGAAAAUAAAUUUUAAAAAAUAAAAAAUAAAAAAAAGAUUUUUUUUAUAGUUUUUCUAAGAUGAUUUUGUAGAGUUCUGUUAGUUUAUAGUUUUCACUUUAUUUAUUGAGGUAUGUUCUUUUUUGAAACUCUUGUUUAGAUUUUAUUGAGAAUAUAAAUUUUAAGAAAAAAAAUAAAAUUUAAAUAAAAUAAGAAUAAAGAAAGGCAAAAGCUGGAUGAAUUUUUUUAAGGCAAAAGUUUGAUAAUUUGGCACUCUCAUGUAAUGGGUGAAAUUUUUAAAUACUCAACAAAGGCUAGUGAAAUUUAAAUUAAAACCAUGACAUGUACCUUUUAGACCAAAAUCUUUGGAGUUGGUGUAAUGUUUUGAGUAUGAGAGAGGUUAGUCUAGGGAAUAUUAUUGCACAUUAGUUCAAAUAAAACAUCAACAUUUUUUUUUGUUAAAUUCUAAAUGAACACCACUAUAAAUUAAUGCGAUUUUGUAUGCUCAAUUAAAUAAACUCGUUCUUAAGGCAUCACAUGAAGUGUUUAAGUCUAAUUAAUAUUAAUUAAAAAUGAUUAUAGUAAAAAAAAUCCAAAGUAAUUUUUUUUUAUCAUAAGUCAAGUAGGAUAGUUUUAUAAAUAAUUGGUUCUAGUUUCUAGUAUUAUUGUAGACAAUCGCUAUGUUUGUUGCACCUCCAAAAAAUCUACUACUUGUAAUUAAUUGUAUAUUAUUCUCCAUAUUCACAUCAGUUUAUGUAGUAUGAUUAAUUUAGCAACAAAAUAUAAGUUUACUUGAAAUGGCUUUAAAUUCCUAUGAUAUUAAAGUUUAAGAUUAAAACAAUGUAACAUUAGCAAAAAAGAUUAAGAUCUAUAAUGUAACAAAUAAAAUUUAGAAAAUUCAAGGCAGGGUAAACUCGCACCUGUUCUACCCAGAAGAGUGGCUCAAGUUCACAUUCAGAAUUUAUUUGUUGAAAGAGUAUCUCCACUUUAUCACAAUCGAGCACUUCCAAUUCUUUCAGAAGUAGCCAGCUUGAACUAAACCUUCUAGAGCAAAAUCUUUUGAGUUGGUGUAAACCGGAGAGUGUGAGAGAGGUAAGGUUAGGGAAUAAGAGUAAAGGUGCUGCUUCAUCUUCAUUUUCAUUGGCAACAAUUGCCUCCACUCCACUCUCUGAUAUAUAUAGGUCCUCAAGUUGCACAAGAGCACUCGCCACAGAAACCCGAAAAAGGUUUAGCAAUUUGUUGAAUCCCCUUACAUGCAAUUUCCUUAAUUUGGAAAAUGAAUUUGUUGGAAGUUGGUCAGGCCACAAUGCUCUUAUAUUAUCCAGUCCGCAUACAUACAAGGACUCCAAGCCUGGGAGUGCAACCUGUGCAAUUGAUAAUCCCUUUGGUUAAUAAUAUAUACAUAUACAUUCCUAAUAAUUAGACACAUGUAAAUAGAAAAUAAGAGGUUAAAGG
rnacentral:lncRNA from 1 species